rnacentral:rRNA from 1 species
ACUUUCAACAACGGAUCUCUUGGUUCUCGCAUCGAUGAAGAACGCAGCGAAAUGCGAUACGUAAUGUGAAUUGAAAGAAUUCCCGUGAAUCAUCGAAUCUUUGAACGCACAUUGCGCCCCUUGGUAUUCCAGGGGGCAUGCCUGUUUGAGCGUCAUUUCCUUCUCAAACAUUCUGUUUGGUAGUGAGUGAUACUCUUUGGAGUUAACUUGAAAUGAUGGCCUUUCCUUGGAUGUUUCUUUUUCCAAAGAGAGGUUCUCUGCGUGCUUGACGGUACUAAUGCAGUCCGGUCGUUUUAGGUUUUACCAACUGCGGCUAAUCUUUUUUAUACUGAGCGUAUUGGAACGUUAUCGAUAAGAAGACGAGCGUCUAGGCGAACAAUGUUCUUAAAGUUGACCUCAAAUAGGUAGGAGUACCCGCUGAACUUAAGGCAUAUCAAUAAGCGGAAGGAAACAGAAACCAACCGGGAUUGCCUUAGUAACGGCGAGGUGAAGCGGCAAAAAGCUCAAAUUUGAAAUCUGUACCUUCGGUGCCCGAGUUGUUAAUUGGACGAGGGCAACUUUGGGGCCGUUCCUUGUCUAUGUUCCUUGGAACAGGACGUCAUAGAGGGUGAGAAUCCCGUGUGGCGAGGAGUGCGGUUCUUUGUAAAGUGCCUUCGAAGAGUCGAGUUGUUUGGGAAUGCAGCUCUAAGUGGGUGGUAAAUUCCAUCUAAAGCUAAAUAUUGGCGAGAGACCGAUAGCGAACAAGUACAGUGAUGGAAAGAUGAAAAGAACUUUGAAAAGAGAGUGAAAAAGUACGUGAAAUUGUUGAAAGGGAAGGGCAUUUGAUCAGACAUGGUGUUUUGUGCCCUCUGCUCCUUGUGGGUAGGGGAAUCUCGCAUUUCACUGGGCCAGCAUCAGUUUUGGUGGCAGGAUAAAUCCAUAGGAAUGUAGCUUGCCUCGGUAAGUAUUAUAGCCUGUGGGAAUACUGCCAGCUGGGACUGAGGACUGCGACGUAAGUCAAGGAUGCUGGCAUAAUGGUUAUAUGCCGCCCGUCUUGAAACACGGACCAAGGAGUCUAACGUCUAUGCGAGUGUUUGGGGUUGUAAACCCAUACGCGUAAUGAAAGGUGAACGUAGGUUGGGGCCUCGCAAGAGGUUGCACAAUCGACCGAUCCUGAUGUCUUCGGAUGGAUUUGAGUAAGAGCAUAGCUGUUGGGACCCGAAAGAUGGUGAACUAUGCCUGAAUAGGGUGAAGCCAGAGGAAACUCUGGUGGAGGCUCGUAGCGGUUCUGACGUGCAAAUCGAUCGUCGAAUUUGGGUAUAGGGGCGAAAGACUAAUCGAACCAUCUAGUAGCUGGUUCCCUGCCGAAGUUUCCCUCAGGAUAGCAGAAGCUCGUAUCAGUGUUAUGAGGUUAAAGCGAAUGAUUAGAGGUUCAGGGGUCGAAAUGACCUUGAACCUAUUCUCAAAACUUUAAAUAUGUAAGAAGUCCUUGUUACUUAAUUGAAACGUGGACAUUUGAAUGAAGAGCUUUUAGUGGGCCAUUUUUGGUACAGCAGAAACUGGCGAUGCGGGAUGAACCGAACGUAGAGUUAAGGUGCCGGAAUACACGCUCAUCAGACACCACAAAAAGGGUUGUAGUUUCAUCUAGACAGCCGGACGGUGGCCAUGGAAGUCGGAUCCGCUAAGGAGUGUGUAACAACUCACCGGCCGAAUGAAACUAGCCCUGAAAAUGGAUGGCGCUCAAGCGUUGUUACCUAUACCUACCGUCAGGGUUGAUAUGAUGCCCUGACGAGUAGGCAGGCGUGGAGGUCAGUGACGAAGCCUAGACCGUAAGGUCGGGUCUGAACGGCCUCUAGUGCAGAUCUUGGUGGUAGUAAGCAAUAUUCAAUGAGAACUUUGAAGACUGAAGUGGGGAAGGUUCCACGUCAACAGCAGUUGGACGUGGGUUAGUCGAUCCUAAGAGAUGGGGAAGCUCCGUUUCAAAGGCCUGAUUUUAUGCGGCCACCAUCGAAGGGAAUCCGGUUAAGAUUCCGGAACCUGGAUAUUGAUUCUCACGGUAACUGAACUGAAUGUGGAGACGUCGGCGCGAGCCCUUGAGGAGGAGUUAUCUUUUCUUCUUAACAGUCUUAUCCACCCCCGGGAAUUGGUUUAGUCCGGAGAUGGGGUCUUAUGGCUGGAAAGAGGGCCAGCACCUUUGCCUGCUUCCGGUGCUGCGUAGUGAACGUCCCGUGAAAAUCCACAGGAAGGAAAUAGUUUUCAUGCCAGGUCGUACUGAUAACCGCAGCAGGGUCUCCAAGGUGAACAGCCUACUAGUUGAUAGAAUAAUGUAGAUAAGGUGGAAGUCGGCAAAAUAGAUACCGUAACCUUCGGGGAUAAGGAUUUGGCUAUCUAGAGGGAUCGGGUAUGUGAGAGGCCUAUGUCAGGAACGCAGCGGGACAGUGCUCUGUGGCCUGCUUGGUGGGGCUUGUCUCUGCUAGGCGGACUACUGUGCGUGCCUGUUGUAUGAGGCCUCGGUAGGUCUCUUGUAGACCGUCGCUUGCUACAAUUAACGAUCAACUUAGAACUGGUACGGACAAGGGGAAUCUGACUGUCUAAUUAAAACAUAGCAUUGCGAUGGU